CAGCGCCCCAAGUGGCGGUCACGUUUAUUGGGCCUAAAGCGUUCGUAGCCGGUUUGGUAAAUCCUUUGUGAAAUCGUUGUGCUUAACGCAACGGCGUGCAGGGGACACUGCCGAACUUGGGACCGGGAGGAGUUAGAGGUAUGUCGUGGGGACUGGUAAAAUGGGAUAAUCCACGAUGGACCGCCGAUGGCGAAGGCAUCUAACCAGAACGGAUCCGACGGUGAGGAACGAAAGCCAGGGGAGCGAACCGGAUUAGAUACCCGAGUAGUCC
rnacentral:rRNA from 1 species